rnacentral:rRNA from 1 species
AGCCCAACAGCUCGCCUCCAACUCUAAAUUCAAUAGUCAAUAUUUAUAAACCCUAAUAUUCCAAUUUUAUUAACUAAAUCAUUCUUCCUCCUUAGUAAGGGCGACAGAACAGGAAAUUGUGAGCGCUAUAGAAAAAGUACCGUAAGGGAAUGCUGAAAGAGAAAUGAAAUAACCCAGUUAAGCAAAGAGAAGCAGAGACUAAAUCUCGUACCUUUUGCAUCAUGAUUUAGCAAGUUUAUUCAAGCAAAGAGCAUUUUAGUUUGUUUUCCCGAAACUAGACGAGCUACUCCAGGACAGCCUAGUAAUAGGGCACACCCGUCUCUGUGGCAAAAGAGUGGGAAGAUCUUUGAGUAGAGGUGAUAAACCUACCGAGCCUAGUUAUAGCUGGUUGCCUGGGAACUAAAUAUAAGUUUAGCCUCCUGUCUUCUUGCGCCAAAAAUGGACAUCCUAAUUUCAGGUUUUAAGAAUACAUUGAGAGUUAGUCAAAAGGGGGACAGCCCUUUUGAAAAAAGAUACAACUUUAUUAACUGGUUAAUAAUCAUAAAUAACAAAGUUCAUGUUUAGGUGGGCCUAAAAGCAGCCACCCUAGAGGAUAGCGUUAAAGCUCAAACAUAACUUAUACUAAUUAUUCCGAUAUCUUAUUAUAAACCGUUAAAUAUUACCAGGCCCUCCUAUUCCUUGAUAGGAAAGAUUAUGCUAAUAUGAGUAAUAAGAGAAUUCAUUUCUCUCCCUGCAUAAGUGUACAUCGGAACGGAAAAACCACCGAACAUCAACGGCCCCAACCCAAGAGGGUAUUAGAGUAGAAAUAAAAAACAAGAAAUGUCUCUAUAUAUUUACCGUUAACCCUACACUGGUAUGCAAAUUUGGAAAGACUAAAAGGGAAAGAAGGAACUCGGCAAAUACUUAAAUAAGCCUCGCCUGUUUACCAAAAACAUCGCCUCUUGAAUUUAAUAUAUAAGAGGUCCUGCCUGCCCUGUGAUAUAAUUUAACGGCCGCGGUAUCUUGACCGUGCAAAGGUAGCGCAAUCACUUGUCUUUUAAAUGAAGACCUGUAUGAAUGGCUAAACGAGGGCUUAACUGUCUCCUCUCCCAAGUCAAUGAAAUUGAUUUCCCCGUGCAGAAGCGGGGAUAAAUACAUAAGACGAGAAGACCCUAUGGAGCUUUAGACGUAAGGGUACAUCAUGUUAAGAAUACUAAAUUAAAUAGUCAAAACAAAUUGAAUAUUACCUCAAUGUCUUUGGUUGGGGUGACCACGGGGAAACACCAAACCCCCGCGCGGAAUAAAAGUAAAACCUUUUAGAACCAAGAGCUACUGCUCUAAGUAACAGAAUAUCUGACCUAAAUGAUCCGGCAAAGCCGAUCAACGAACCGAGUUACCCUAGGGAUAACAGCGCAAUCCCCUUUUAGAGUCCCUAUCGACAAGGGGGUUUACGACCUCGAUGUUGGAUCAGGACAUCCUAAUGGUGCAGCCGCUAUUUAGGGUUCGUUUGUUCAACGAUUAAAGUCCUACGUGAUCUGAGUUCAGACCGGAGUAAUCCAGGUCAGUUUCUAUCUAUGAAAUAUUUUCUUCUAGUACGAAAGGACCGAAGAAAAGGGGCCAAUUCUUUAAGUACGCCUCCCCCUUAUCUAAUGAAAACAACUAAAAUAGAUAAAAGGGUAUAUUUCUCAAGCUAAAGAUAAUAGCGU